CUGCUUGGAUUUGGUUGGUGAAGGUGCCAGGAGUGAAAGGGCCAGCAAUUGGAGUGGCUCCGGUGGCAGCAGCAAACUUCAGCCCAGCUCGCUGCACAGUGUUCCUGGAAGAGAUGACACUAACAUCAGCGGGGUUUUCAAUGGCAACGAUGGCCUGGGCUGCCAGUAACAGCUUCUCCCACGUCCUCUUCAGAUAUAUGAUGUAGAUACCAUCACUUUGCCUUUUGUAGAUGUACUGCUCCAUCUGAAAGUCAAGGUUGGUUACUGCUCCAUCUGAAAGUCAAGGUUGGUGCCACCUAAGUUGGUUCCUGCAGCAAGGAAUUUGAGGACAUUCUCCUCCUUCAUCUGCAGGACAUCAGGGGCUCCGGACAUUGUAAAGUGUUUGCUGACACUUUUUCUGAGACCUCAAAGAAAGCGAAGGUGACAAGAAAAGAGGAAUUGUGGGAAAUGGAAUCUGUUUCAUCAUCUGAGAGACCAGAACUCAAGAAUGUUAAGAUCCUUUUCUGCUCUCAAUAUGGCCAUCAGAGAAGCAUAGGCAGUUCCAGCUAUUGCGGAAUUCUACACUCAGAAGAACCCACCUAUACCUGGAGAAGUAAUGGUUCUGUGGACUUGUAUUUGGAAGAAAGUCUCCAGGAACCUCUGCAGAGCAUAAAUGCAAACCAGCUGGGACAAGUCUCCCUCUUCCAGCCAAAAGGAGGAAAAGUUUGAUUAUAUGCUCAUUUCUGAACUUCUGUCCUUUCCCAUUGAACAUUUGUUUUUGGAUGCUGAAGGACUACAUACAGACAUGAUGGACUGAAGUUGCAGAGGCACUUAAUAAUGGCAAACUCCAUCCAGGAGAUCUUCCAAUGGCAAAGCUUCAUGUUUGCACAAGGGGAAUACUAUACCCAUCCCUCACUGCUGUUUCAUUUUCCUAGAAAGAACAGAGAGUGACCAAUAGAUUGCAUACUUUUAAAAAAAGCAAUCCAAAUUCUUUAUUAUUUUCUAAUUUUCAUUGGGGCAUAUAAAAAAAGACAUUUUGUUCAUUUCAGGGGCCACUUGGAAGUAUCAGAAGUUCUCUGGUCAGAAUGCUCUAAUUGGUCCUAAUAUUACAUUUAUAAGGAUGAUAUUUUAGAAAAUACUAACAGAGAAGCAAAUAGCUACCUAAUUACCUGAGAUGGAUGCCAUGGGGCUUGUACAUUCCCUUUCUGAGUGAUGCAGGCACACAUUUCACAACUUUCCUGCUAACAGGCUUUUAGAAUCCAUGAAAUGCCGAAUACUCCUCUAUGUUCUAAUAAUACAAAAGCAUGUAAAACAACAGACUUUGUGAAAUGUAUAGUCUCACAAGACUUGCACAUACAGUUUGAUGCCCACAACUGGUCAAACUGCAGAAAGUAAGGAACUGUGGAAUGUUCUGCCCUAAGCAGGUCAUCUAUAUCAUAUUGUCUUCUUCCUAAGGAUCAUAUCACAUCCCCCUUCUCCUAAGGCUUAGAGAUCACUUCAGAAAAGGGGGCAGAAAGACUGGAAGAACCAAAGGUUGAUGACUAAUAGGAAAUAGUGUUUGCUGGACAUAACAGGGAAGUUGCACAUUUGAAUUCCCAGCAGUUGGGAUAGAACAUGUAAGAUCUGCACAGGCUCAAACCAAACAACAUUCUGCUUGGAGAAGGAAUUUGGGUCCUUUUACCUAACUAAGGAGUUAAUGGCAGUUGAUAGCUGCUAGGAAAAGGACAGUCAGUUUU
rnacentral:lncRNA from 1 species